AGUGAACGCUGGCGGUAGGCCUAACACAUGCAAGUCGAACGGCAGCACAGUAAGAGCUUGCUCUUACGGGUGGCGAGUGGCGGACGGGUGAGGAAUACAUCGGAAUCUACUUUUUCGGGGGGGAUAACGGAGGGAAACUUACGCUAAUACCGCAUACGACCUACGGGUGAAAGCAGGGGAUCUUCGGACUUUGCGCGAUUGAAUGAGCCGAUGUCGGAUUAGCUAGUUGGCGGGGUAAAGGCCCACCAAGGCGACGAUCCGUAGCUGGUCUGAGAGGAUGAUCAGCCACACUGGAACUGAGACACGGUCCAGACUCCUACGGGAGGCAGCAGUGGGGAAUAUUGGACAAUGGGCGCAAGCCUGAUCCAGCCAUGCCGCGUGAGUGAAGAAGGCCUUCGGGUUGUAAAGCCCUUUUGUUGGGAAAGAAAAGCAGCAGGUUAAUACCCCGCUGUUCUGACGGUACCCAAAGAAUAAGCACCGGCUAACUUCGUG
rnacentral:rRNA from 1 species